ACGGGAGGCAGCAGUGGGGAAUAUUGGACAAUGGGGGAAACCCUGAUCCAGCGACGCCGCGUGAGUGAAGAAGUAUUUCGGUAUGUAAAGCUCUAUCAGCAAGAAAGAAAAUGACGGUACUUGACUAAGAAGCCCCGGCUAACUACGUGCCAGCAGCCGCGGUAAUACGUAGGGGGCAAGCGUUAUCCGGAUUUACUGGGUGUAAAGGGAGCGUAGACGGCGAUGCAAGUCUGAAGUGAAAGCCCGGGGCUCAACCCCGGAACUGCUUUGGAAACUGUAUAGCUAGAGUGCAGGAGAGGUAUGUGGAAUUCCUAGUGUAGCGGUGAAAUGCGUAGAUAUUAGGAGGAACACCAGUGGCGAAGGCGACAUACUGGACCGUAACUGACGUUGAGGCUCGAAGGCGUGGGGAGCAAACAGGAUUAGAUACCCUGGUA
rnacentral:rRNA from 1 species